CGUGAUGAGAGCUUUUCAGGAGGCGGGAGUCCCUGAGACCCGCUCCGAGACCACCAAUUAGGGUCUCAAAAAGUUUGAAAGAACGAGAAACCCGAGGAGCCUUUCCGACCAAAGGCUGGAGAAGCAGAGUGGGACCUUCAGGCACUUUGUCGGGUUAUCUGCCAAGGACUACCAUCUAGAGAAACCUCGGCUGCCAGGAGAGGGAACCCGGACAUUCUCCGCUGCCAGCUCAAGCAAGUGGCAUGGCAUUUGAAAACUCUUGAAAUCCUCUGAGGCGUCUGGAGGGAAUAGGAAGCCAUCUGGGCAGAUGUGGCAGAAACCGAAAUAAGGUGUCCACGCAGUACUGGAUUCCCGCCUCCUCCUUUAGCUUGGUGGAAAGGUGUGCAGCAAAUCUGAGGAUUUUGACAGUGCCCUCUUGUUGACUUCAGUGCCCUCUUGUUGACUUCACAACCAAUAUCCAUUGCCUUCUUCCCAGAGGGGGAAAGCACUGCCCAGGAACAGGGUCCCAUUGCAGAGGGCUUCCAGGGCCACUGUCAUUGCCCUGUUUGCCUCCUCCUCCCCCCACCCCCUCCCACCACUCUGCACGAGCUCUGUAAUUCAGAUCAACAAACUCUCACACACCCCUCGCAGAGUCGCAGAGCAACCCCCCAGAAACCUGGCUCUGGGAUGGGGGUGGUGGCUACCCUCCCACUGUGCUUGCCAGGAAAGGGAGCCUAUCUCCUUUGCUGAUGCAAAGACAUGGCCCUCGCU
rnacentral:lncRNA from 1 species